AGUCCGGAUUGGAGUCUGCAACUCGACUCCAUGAAGUCGGAAUCGCUAGUAAUCGCGGAUCAGAACGCCGCGGUGAAUACGUUCCCGGGCCUUGUACACACCGCCCGUCACACCAUGGGAGUGGGCUGUACCAGAAGUGGGUAGUCUAACCUUCGGGAGGACGCUUACCACGGUAUGGUUCAUGACUGGGGUGAAGUCGUAACAAGGUAGCCGUAGGGGAACCUGCGGCUGGAUCACCUCCUUUAA
rnacentral:rRNA from 1 species